AUUGAACGCUGGCGGCAGGCCUAACACAUGCAAGUCGAACGAGUGGCGGACGGGUGAGUAAUGUCUGGGAAACUGCCCGAUGGAGGGGGAUAACUACUGGAAACGGUAGCUAAUACCGCAUACCAUCGGAUGUGCCCAGAUGGGAUUAGCUAGUAGGUGGGGUAACGGCUCACCUAGGCGACGAUCCCUAGCUGGUCUGAGAGGAUGACCCGCCACACUGGAACGGAGACACGGUCCAGACUCCUAAGGGAGGCAGCAGGGGGGAAUAUUGCAGCAUGGGCGCAAGCCUGAUGCAGCCAUGCCGCGGGUAUGAAGAAGGCCGUCGGGUUGUAAAGUACUUUCAGCGAGGAGGCGUUAACCGGAGAAGAAGCAUCGGCUAACCCCGUGCCAGCAGCCGCGGUAAUUC
rnacentral:rRNA from 1 species